UGGGGAAUAUUGCACAAUGGGCGAAAGCCUGAUGCAGCGACGCCGCGUGGGGGAUGACGGCCUUCGGGUUGUAAACCCCUUUCAGUAGGGAAGAAGCGAGAGUGACGGUACCUGCAGAAGAAGCGCCGGCUAACUACGUGCCAGCAGCCGCGGUAAUACGUAGGGCGCAAGCGUUGUCCGGAAUUAUUGGGCGUAAAGAGCUUGUAGGUGGCUUGUCGCGUCUGCCGUGAAAACCCGAGGCUCAACCUCGGGCGUGCGGUGGGUACGGGCAGGCUAGAGUGUGGCAGGGGAGACUGGAACUCCUGGUGUAGCGGUGAAAUGCGCAGAUAUCAGGAAGAACACCGAUGGCGAAGGCAGGUCUCUGGGCCAUUACUGACACUGAGAAGCGAAAGCAUGGGUAGCGAACAGGAUUAGAUACCCUGGUAGUCCAUGCCGUAAACGUUGGGCACUAGGUGUGGGGGACAUUCCACGUUUUCCGCGCCGUAGCUAACGCAUUAAGUGCCCCGCCUGGGGAGUACGGCCGCAAGGCUA
rnacentral:rRNA from 1 species